rnacentral:tRNA from 1 species
UAGGUUUUUGUAGUUGAAUACAACGGUGGUUUUUCAAAUCAUUGGUCUUGGUUGGAGUCCAAGCAAGAAUU